GGGGAUGUGGCUCAAGUGGUAGAGUGCUCGCCUAGCAUGUGUGAGGCACUGGGUUCGAUUCUCAGCACCA
rnacentral:tRNA from 1 species